GACAGAGGUGCCGAGCGUUAGGCGGAAUCACUGGGCUUCAAAGCGUGUGUAGGUGGAUGCCUAAGUACCUUGUGAAAUCCCACGGCUUAACCGUGGAACUGCUUGGUAUACUGGGUGUCUUGAGCCAGCUAGGGGCUACCGGAACAAAUGGUGGAGCGGUGAAAUGCGUAGAUAUCAUUUGGAACGCCAAUGGUGAAAACAGGUAGCUGGGGCUGUGCUGACACUGAGACACGAAAGCCAGGGGAGCGAACGGG
rnacentral:rRNA from 1 species